rnacentral:rRNA from 1 species
CAGCCGCCGCGGGAAUACGAAGGGGGCUAGCGUUGCUCGGAAUGACUGGGCGUAAAGGGCGCGUAGGCGGCGGCCAAAGUCAGGCGUGAAAUUCCUGGGCUCAACCUUGGGGCUGCGCUUGAUACUUGGUUGCUUGAGUGGGGAAGAGGGUCGUGGAAUUCCCAGUGUAGAGGUGAAAUUCGUAGAUAUUGGGAAGAACACCGGUGGCGAAGGCGACUCUCUGGUCUGUAACUGACGCUGAGGAGCGAAAGCGUGGGGAGCGAACAGGAUUAGAUACCCCGGUAGUCCCUGUCUCUUAUAC